rnacentral:rRNA from 1 species
AUGGAGGACGGGAGGAUCCAGACCACGCCGAAUCUGCCGCAGGAGAUCUUGAUGGCCAUCUUCGCCGCAUUUGAAAUCCCCGACCUCCUGCGUGCUGGCUCCGUAUGCUCCUCCUGGCGCUUCGCCUACGAAACCCUGCGCAACCACGGGCUGUACAACCAGUCCCAGACGCCAUGUCUGCUCUACACCUCCGAGUCCGACGGCGAGAGCACCGCGCGCCUCUACAGCCUCGCGGAGAAGAAGGCGUACAGGCUGACCCUCCCGGACCCGCCCAUCCGCACCAGGUCUCUGAUCGGGUCCUCCCCUCAGGGCUUGCUGGUUACGGUCGACGACAGAUCCGAGAUGCACCUUCUCAACCCCAUCACCGGUCAACAGAUCGCCCUCCCGUCGGUGAUCACCAUCCGGCAGCAGCAGCAGGAGGACACAUUGUGGUGCUGA